rnacentral:lncRNA from 1 species
UUAUUUCUCAACAGAUUUGAUUGACAUUCAUAGAAGAUAGAAUUUAGAAGUAUUGUGGUAAUAAAAAAAUGUUACUAUCAAACAAAAGAAGAAAACAAAAAGAAAUUGUAAAUGAAUCUACAGAGCGAAGAAAAUCGAAUUUUUGUCAAAAAAAAAAUUAUUAAUGCUGCUUUGCAUAUCUGCGCUGUUCUAUGAUUGGACUGGGUUUUAAUUAUUCUCAAGGUCCACUUGUUAUUCAGCUACAAAAAAUGAUUAAAAUUUUAUUCUUGAUCAAUUCUAUAACAAAUUUGCAGCAUUUUCAGGAAACCAACAAAACAAUCAAAAUAGAAAAAUCAUCACCUCCUUUAUGUUUAUAGAUAGAUAUAGCAUCAAAUUUUAAUCAACAAAUAUGAAUAUGAUUAUCAACAAAUAAUACCAUCCUCAACAAUUGUAACCAAGACAGGCUCAAACGUUUUUCGUGCAUUGAUCCCUGAUUCAGACCAUCAAAAUGAAUGUUCUUGAUUCAGACACCUGGCUUCUUGGAGACUUCUUGGGCGCUGCAAGCUGGUGUGCAUUGAUCCUUGCAACUGUUAAGGGUUGAGCCAGCGUUAUAAGGAGGUGACAUGCAAAGAUUAUAGCAAGUGUCAUAACAAGCUAUGUUGAGUGCAGGAGUGAAAGAUUUGAAUGGCCAAGGCAAAGACCAAGAUUCCCCAACCUCUAAUGAUGAAAACAUGACAAGCAUGGAAAUCAGGAUUAAUGUGGUGGUGACUUUGCCUUUCUGAACCAUUUUUCUUUUCUUUCUUUGAGGUCUUUCUUAGUUACAAGGAGAGGUGGUGAGAUUAAUUAUUUGUUAAUUUGAUGAGGAGGUUAGUUUUG